rfam:Camelus ferus unplaced genomic scaffold scaffold743, whole genome shotgun sequence.
GAGGGUAUAGCUCAAGCUGUAGAGCACAUGCUUAGCAUGCACAAGGUCCUGGGUUCAAUCCCCAGCACCUCCU